CAACAUUGUCACACAGCAGCACCUGGCAGCCCUGCAGUGGCUGUGCUACAAGCGGUUUGUGGAGAAAAGCAUGUCUCAGGGGAGCUGGACUGACCAUGUACAGGGCCUGGUGGAGCAGAGCCCCUGGCUACAGCAGCAGCUGCUCCAGCUGGUGGCCCCUCACAGUGACCUGGCCACAGUCGCCCAAUGUGCCCUGGACCUCUCACUGCCUGAGGAGCAGCUGCCAGAUUCAGUGGCUGCAAAGCUUGUUUGGCUUAGGCUCCAGGGAAGGUAAGCACCCUCAUUCUAGGUGGUGUUCUGCCCAGGACAGUCCCUGGCCCUUAAGGCAGUGACUCUGCAAAUCACACAGCCUGCCACCCAUCCAGAGCCCUGAGGCCAGAUCCAUGGCUAGGCUGGAUAUAUCUGAAGGCCAGGGAAUCAGCUGUCCUAUGGCCCAGGAGUUCCCCCAACUCUGGGGCAGAGACAGGUGUAGGGGUCAUUGUGGAGUGGGGGGCUGAGCAGGUAGGAGAGGAGGAGCACCCAAGGGCAGACCCAAGCCCUCCAUCCAUUGAGCAGACCUUGGGUACUCUCCAGCCUCCCUCCAUGGUCUGCCUGGGCCUAGUCGGGAGUGGAGUGGGGGCCAGGGACACCACCAGUUCUGAUCCUCCCAGGACAGCUGAGGCUGAUUCAAGAUGGAGGAGCCGCACAAGAACCUGAAGGAAGAUUUCUACCAACUGCCCAUUUCCAGAGAAAACAUCCACUUCCUGGCCUCCUGGGAGGGCCUGGCCAGGCAUGAGGCCAGCUGCUGCAGGUGGGUGCCUGGCUGGCUUCUAUAGCACACUGCUCAUGGAGCCUCUGUGUAAGGACCUCAGGA
rnacentral:lncRNA from 1 species